GGAAAUGAUCACUCUGGCUUCCCUUUGCUGCAGAUGCUAUGUGGAGGGCAUUGGGUGUCUUCCUUGGCUUCCAGCUGCUGUCAGGUCUUUGCAGUGGGGUGACGGUGUCGCAGAAGGAGAAGUUUAUAGCCAUUCAGAAUGGCAGCAAGGCAAGAAUCCCAUGUGAACAUGAUGACGAAUCUUACAUUACUGUCCUGUGGUAUCAGCAGAAGGCUGCAGAAAGGCAGCUGCAGUUAGUAGCCACCUCUACAUAUGGGAAUUCAGAAGAAAUGGAAAAAGAGUUCCAAAAUAGAUACAGUGUGGCACGGCCAGGAAAGCUGAACACCUCCCUGACAAUCAAACUGGGGAUGGCUGAAGACACUGCAGUGUAUUUCUGUGCAGCUAGCAAAGCACAGUGAAAGCUUCAUUUCUCACAGCUGUGCAAUAACCCACCAGUGCUGCUCAUCCCUUGCAACACACACACCUCAGGCCCAGCCACACGGAGAAAUGGUGUGACAGGGGACAGAGAUGUCACUUAGCAGUUAACAAUGGUGAAGGGUACCUAGUCACCAGCCCUGGAAGCCAAACCCUUUUGUUAGCCAGAGGCACUUGCAGAGCAGUGCAAGCUUCCUUUCCCCCCACACAUACCCCCACAUGACCGUGCUGC